GUGAAAGCCAGUGAUUACAACACUGAAGAGAGGAUGAAGAGGGACUAUUUUUCUGGGCACAAGAAGAGAAAAAAACUCAAUGAGAGUGGCUAUGUGGAACAGCAGUCAGGUAGUGGCCCUUCCCCCCAUGCCUCAGCUGCAUGAGUGAGUGGCAGCAGGUGUGCCUGAUCACCACUGAGUGCCUGGAGGAUAAGAAGGCUUUGUUUUUUGACAGUAUGUGGUCUGUUUCCCUUCUUACCUGUUGUGACCACUGUCAGCAGACCACUGUCAGCCCAGCGGACAGAGGCAGCCCAUUCAACCAGUGGGUUGAACACCAGCCUAGAGCUUCUGUGAGUCCAGAACAAUGUCUGGUAACCUCCUCAGUGGAGAGAGGACUAUUUCAACUGUUCAUUUAGUGUUGAACCUUUCUCCCUCAGUUACUUACCCUGUGUUUAUUGUUGCCUUACCUUUUUGGCUCGCUGUCUCCUUUUGAGAGAGUAGUUUUGAGUUGGUUUUCCGUUGUUAAUAUUGAAUAAAUACACUUUAGUUUGCACAUAA